UCCGUAGGUGAACCUGCGGAGGAGCAUAUCAAUAAGCGGAGGAAACUAACAUUUGAACGCUGUCUGAAGUUUGCAGUCUGAGUUUUUAGUUAAACAAUCGUUAAAACUUUCAACAACGGAUCUCUUGGUUCCGGCAUCGAUGAAGAACGCAGCGAAAUGCGAUAAUUAAUGUGAAUUGCAGAAUUCAGUGAAUCAUCGAGUCUUUGAACGCACAUUGCGCCCCCUGGUAUUCCGGGGGGCAUGCCUGUCCGAGCGUCAUUGCUGCCCUCAAGCACGGCUUGUGUGUUGGGCUUCCGUCCCUGGCAACGGGGACGGGCCCAAAAGGCAGUGGCGGCACCAUG
rnacentral:rRNA from 1 species